CUGCCAUGUCCUGAAGAUACUAAGGCAACCGUGUGCAGAGGAACUAAAAUACCGAGUUCAACAACAGGUCUCUUGCUAUCCUUCAAGCAAAGCUAUCUCCAAAUCUGAAGAAGAGACCAAGAAAUAGAAAAAGUAGCACCUCUUGCCUGCUUCCCUGUCUAAUAUUUGAAAGAGUGCCUCCAUCAGAGAGCUCCAUCCAGACCUAGACUUGGACAAUAGGCAGUUGUUUGCUUGCCUCUGGCUCUGCUCACUCUCCAUGGGGGUCUAUAGCUGGUGAUCAUCUUGUAUACCUAAUUCUGGCUUCAUCUUCAGACUCGGACAGCCAGGAAUCCAGGAAUGUGCAGCAUGGAUGCCCAAGUCUGAGUGGAGGUUGCAUCAGUUUCAAAGACAUUGUGCUCUUCCCUGCCGUGGUGGAGUGGUGAGCCGGUUGACAUCCCGGAAAAGGUUGUUAGGGAGUGGAGGUGGGUGGAAGAACCAGAGUCAGACAGUCUGUUCUUCUCUGAUGGUGUCACAUCUGGAUAGAGUGGCUGGAGCUGCUGCAUCCAGCUUGCUACAAGCACAGGGGAUGGCAGAGCUCAGAGAUGGGAUGACCCUGUGUUCUUGAUGGAAUCAACCAGUCAUGCGGAUCCUGCUAUUUCUGGACUGGCUGUUAGACAUCUGACUCAUGAAAAGAAAAAUAGAAGUGAAAAUUGCCAUUUUUCUCAAGAAAUAGCACUUUCUUCCCACAAUAUAAAGAAGACCAUUUGACUUUUAUUACUAAGUUUUCCAAACCACUGAGCAUGCACCUCCACAUGCCUGCAGAGUGCACUGGUUGCCAUUGGGUUGAGUGAAUUCCAGUUACACAUUACUAUCACAGACAAGUAAAGGGUCAAUGAAAUACAUAUUCACGACCCCACAAAUAAUCUUUUCAGUAGUCUGUUUCCUAGUUACAUGAUUUCCCUUUUCUUAAAUCCUUGAAUUAUUUGAUAAAAGUCUCCACAGUGGUGUUUUUACUGUGGCUGAACUUUGGUGGGUAAAGAGAUAAAAGAAAAACUUCAAUCUAUGGCCUUGGGACACACAUGAGAAAUUUGCUACCCAGGUGAGGCACACUUGUGGAAGCCAAAAAUCUUCAUGCUUAUAUCAAAUCCAUGAAUAUUCUGGCUUCUGAACAUGGCCCAAGUACGGGAGGGUUAUGUGCAGUAGUAAACAGAUGACUAAACUACAUCUGAUGCCUAAGUAGUGACUUCUUGGUGAACACACAACUUUUUCACCAUGCUAUCAUGCAAUCAUUUUUAAAACUCGGGAUGUCAUCUUCCUCCCUUGUAAGUUCAAGCCCCCAGAUAUGGCUUAUCAGGCCACUUAUAAUGUGUGUGCUUUCAAGUUCACGAUAUACAUUGCAUUACAUUUAUAAUAUCAGGUGACGUGACACAGCAAAUGAUACCUUCAACUAUCUCCAGCCCCAAUCUUGGGAAAUGUUUCUGGUAGUCCCAGUAGCAGGGACAGCAAGCUAAAAUAAGGGGUUUAACGUUUAAGAUCUCUAAGAGCUGAUACCACUGGGGCAAACUCCCUCAACAAUGAGGUUUUCUCCAACCUCAAAAGAAAGGCCAGUGAACAGUCAUCUGGUACAGGUGGCAUUGCUGGUGGGAGGAGUGGGUUUUCCACGGCUGUACUACACAUUUUGGGAGCCAUCAAUAGCUGGCGCAGUGGAUGCAACACCCUCUUGAUUGUCAGCAGAAGCAAAUCACUAGAAGCCCUGGAACCCUAGUAAAACACCCAAAAGAAAACAUGGAAUUAAAUAUCACGUUGUCAUCCCUGCUGCUUAGGUACAGAAGAGGUACAGCUCUAUUCUGGAAGGAUUUGGAGUCAUUUGAGAGAGCAGCUUUACAUCAGAAGUUUUGACUAGUAUUCUCAUUUUAGGGACAGAUAGUGAUUCUCAUUUGAGGACAGCUGAAAAAAAAAAACAGCUGAAUUAUCACCAACUAGUUUAGGUUAUGUCUUGGGUUGAAUUGUGUUGUCCAAAAAGAUUCAUUGACGCACUAACCCCCAGAACCUCAGAAUGUGACCCUUAUUUGGAAUGAGGGUCUUUACAGAGUUAAUCAGAUUAAAAUAAGAUACGAUUGGCACUAACCCAAUAUGAGUUUUUAGAAAAAGGGGAAAUUUCAACCCAGAGACAUGCAUUGUGGGAGAACUAUAAGAAAAGAUACAGGCAGAACGCCAUGAGAAGACAAAUGCACAGACUAGGGGAUGCAACUACAAGCCAAGGAAUGGCAAAGAUUUCCAGCAAACCACCAGAUGCUAGGAGAAGCAUGGAACAGAUUCU
rnacentral:lncRNA from 1 species